rnacentral:rRNA from 1 species
CCUACGGGUGGCAGCAGUGAGGAAUAUUGGUCAAUGGACGAGAGUCUGAACCAGCCAAGUAGCGUGAAGGAUGACUGCCCUACGGGUUGUAAACUUCUUUUAUAUGGGAAUAAAACGUUUCACGUGUGGGAUUUUGUAUGUACCAUAUGAAUAAGGAUCGGCUAAGUCCGUGCCAGCAGCCGCGGUAAUACGGAGGAUCCGAGCGUUAUCCGGAUUUAUUGGGUUUAAAGGGAGCGUAGGUGGAUUGUUAAGUCAGUUGUGAAAGUUUGCGGCUCAACCUUAAAAUUGCAGUUGAAACUGGCAGUCUUGAUUACAGUAGAGGUAGGCGGAAUUCGUGGUGUAGCGGUGAAAUGCUUAGAUAUCACGAAGAACUCCGAUUGCGAAGGCAGUUCACUGGACUGCAACUGACACUGAGGCUCGAAAGUGUGGGUAUCAAACAGGAUUAGAUACCCGAGUAGUC